UACGUAGGGGGCAAGCGUUGUCCGGAUUUACUGGGCGUAAAGAGCGUGUAGGCGGCCAGGCAGGUCUGUUGUGAAAACUGGAGGCUCAACUUCCAGACGUCGACAGAAACCGCUUGGCUAGAGUCCGGAAGAGGAGAGUGGAAUUCCUGGUGUAGCGGUGAAAUGCGCAGAUAUCAGGAAGAACACCGGUGGCGAAGGCGGUUCUCUGGGAAUAUCCUGACGCUGAGGAGCGAAAGUGUGGGGAGCGAACAGG
rnacentral:rRNA from 1 species